rnacentral:misc_RNA from 1 species
GGAAACGGUCUCAGCAGAUCGAGGUACCAUAGAAAUUUGGGUUUUGGCAGAAGCACACCAGGAACCUGUAACGAGAGAUAUUACUACGUUCAGGACCCAGCGGCGCCGCCACUGAUUUUAGAGACUGCCAUUGCUGACAUGGACUCAAUACCAAGCUGUGCUUGAGGGUUGAAAUGACGCUCGAACAGGCAUGCCCCCCGGAAUACCAAGGGGCGCAAUGUGCGUUCAAAGAUUCGAUGAUUCACUGAAUUCUGCAAUUCACAUUACUUAUCGCAUUUCGCUGCGUUCUUCAUCGAUGCCAGAACCAAGAGAUCCGUUGUUGAAAGUUUUAACUAUUAUAUAGUACUCAGACGACAUUAAUAAAAAGAGUUUGAUUAUCCUUUGGCGAGCGUCCGAAAACGACUCGCCAAAGCAACAAAGUAAUAAUACACAAGGGUGGGAGGUCUACCCUUUCGGGCAUGAACUCUGUAAUGAUCCUUCCGCAGGUUCACCUACGGAAG